GCCAUUGUUUCCUCUUAUAUAAAAAAGUAAUCUUAACCCACAAUCGCUACUCUUCAUGUCACCAUGACAACAUGACGUCACCAUCCAUAUGGCCUAUAUCAACCAAAAAAGCCGUCUUAGCGGACAAAUAACCACGAUGACCUACCUUUUUAUUACAGAAGUUUUGAAUCUUUUUUGAAAGUUAUUUGAAAAUCGCCAGUGUAGUUUUGGAGAAACUGAAUUUCAGCCUUU